rnacentral:rRNA from 1 species
AGAGUUUGAUCCUGGCUCAGAUUGAACGCUGGCGGUAAGCCUUAAACAUGCAAGUCGUGCGGUAACAGACAUAAAGAUUUAGCUUGCUAAAUCCGGUGCUGACGAGCGGCGAACGGGUGAGUAACACGUAGGAAUCUACCCAGUAGCGGGGGAUAGCCCAGGGAAACUUGGAUUAAUACCGCAUAAGCCCUAUGGGGGAAAGAAGGCCUCUCUUUGAAGCUUUCACUAUUGGAUGAGCCUGCGUAAGAUUAGCUUGUUGGUAGGGUAAAAGCCUACCAAGGCAACGAUCUUUAGCUGGUCUGAGAGGACGAUCAGCCACAUUGGGACUGAGACACGGCCCAGACUUCUACGGAAGGCAGCAGUUAGGAAUAUUGGACAAUGGGGGCAACCCUGAUCCAGCUAUACCGCGUGUGUGAAGAAGGCCCUAGGGUCGUAAAGCACUUUAAGCAGGGAAGAAG